rnacentral:antisense_RNA from 1 species
CUUCAGCGACCCCAGCCACAGCGGCCGGUCGGCGGGCCGGUUCUUGCCGUAGGUGGCGAGCAGGGCCUGCGCCUC